AUACUUAACCUGGCAGGGGAGAUAUCGUGAUCACAAAGGUGGUUUUCCUAGGGCAAGGCUCACACAUUGCACUCCUGGUGUGUGGACCCCUGCGAUUUCCCCAAAUGCAGAAAACUCGACUGCAUGAUUUGUGGUAAUGGGGGACUGUGUUCGCACUCUCCACUA
ensembl:snRNA U1 U1 spliceosomal RNA